UGGAAGCUCCGAUCCAGGGAUGCUGUGCCACGGGUCCUGAUCCCACUUUAUUUCCAUAAGGAAGAGGAGGAAGGGAUAUAACAUGGCAACUGGAAUAGACAUGUGAACCAACAGCUUGACCGCAGCAGGAAUCACCACCUGAGUGAUCCAUGGAGCCAGAGCAAGGGAA